GGGUGUGUAGCUCUGUGGUAGAGGGUGUGCUUAGCAGGCACGAGGUCCUGGGUUCAAUCCCCAGUACCUUCA
rnacentral:tRNA from 1 species